rnacentral:lncRNA from 1 species
UCAGGAAAAAUAAAAGGAAAAAACUGAGAGAAGUUCCAAUUAGAGAAGAUCAUAAAUGUUAUAUACAUUUGCACUUUUCACAAUAGCAAAGAGAUAGAAUCAACCUAAAUGUCCAUUAAUACUAGACUGGAUAAAGAAAAUGUGGUACAUAUACACCAUGGAAUACUAUGCAGACAUAAAAAAGAAUGAGAUCAUGUCCUUUGCAGGGACAUGGAUGGAGUUGGAUUUGGAGGUCAUUAUCCAUAGCAAACUAAUACAGGAACAGAAAACCAAAU